GACGAACCGUGCAAACGUUGUUCGGAAUCACUGGGCUUAAAGGGCGCGUAGGCGGGCAGGCAAGUCGGAGGUGAAAGCCCACGGCUCAACCGUGGAAGUGCCCCCGAUACUGCCAGUCUUGAGGGAGGUAGGGGCGUGCGGAACUUCCGGUGGAGCGGUGAAAUGCGUAGAUAUCGGAAGGAACACCGGUGGCGAAAGCGGCGCGCUGGACCUCUUCUGACGCUGAGGCGCGAAAGCCAGGGGAGCAAACGGG
rnacentral:rRNA from 1 species